GCCUGGGUGGCUCAGUCAGUUAAGCAUCUGACUUUGGCUCAGGUCAUGAUCUUUGUGAGUUUGAGCCCCGCCUCAGGCU
rnacentral:tRNA from 1 species